GUGUUUCCAUGUUUCUUCUAGAUAUAUACGUGGUUCCUAGAGAUAUAUCUGUUGGCCAGUUUAUCCAUAUUUUAAGCAGCCGGCUUCAACUGACUCCUGGGAAAGCGCUUUUUGUAUUUGUGAAGACCUCAAACAGCAAGUCGUAUGGAUUCCAUUUACGAAAGUUACAAGGAAGAUGAUGGAUUUCUGUAUAUGUGUUACAGCAGCGAGAAAACCUUUGGCUAAUCAUUUCUAAUUUUCGAAUAGUUCAUACUUGUAAGUAUUUAUCAUUCUCACUUGUUCUGAACACAGACGCCUGCGUGACCCUGUAAUUUCAUGUUCAUUGUAUAUUUUAAUUUCUUCUCUUUUCUGUAAAGUUCAUAACCUGUAAUAAUAAUGCCAUAUUAUCUUUCCCAUUACUCAAUUAAUACAUCCAUCACAUUGGUGGCUUUCACAAGAAAACUUGUGAUCAUUCUUUGUGCUUUUCA